UACGUAGGGUGCAAGCGUUAAUCGGAAUUACUGGGCGUAAAGCGUGCGUAGGCGGUCCGUUAAGUCUGUUGUGAAAGCCCCGGGCUUAACCUGGGAAUGGCAAUGGAUACUGGCGAGCUAGAGUGUGUCAGAGGAUGGUGGAAUUCCCGGUGUAGCGGUGAAAUGCGUAGAGAUCGGGAGGAACAUCAGUGGCGAAGGCGGCCAUCGUGGGACAACACUGACGCUGAGGCACGAAAGCGUGGGGAGCAAAC
rnacentral:rRNA from 1 species